CUCGGUGUAUUUCAUAGCCUUCUCUGAAAGUUAUAGUCAAAACCAUGAUGAGUAUCUUCAUGAGACCUCUCUUUCGUAUACUUUUGUUUCUGAUCCUUGCUGCCGGUGUUACUCUUGUGAUUGCAACCAAGCAACCAAAAUUCCGAGCAAGCAGCAUGUAUUCUCCACAAAGUAACCGUCCCGUUCAGCCAUCAGGACCUAAUCCUUGCAGUCACCUGCCCGGACCAGGCCAAUGCAAACCUCCUAAGUGAUGCGUGUUUCAUGUACAUUGCCCACGUUUACAUACAAAUUUCAGGGAUGAUCAUGUUCAUGAUGGAAGUGGAAAUAAAGAGUGUGGCAAGUAGAGUUGAUAUAACGAAUCCUUUAAUUUGUACGCAAAUUAAUGAUCAUUAAUAAAUAUUUCUUUCCCUAAUUGGUGUUGGUUUGUU